CCAGGGAGGGGGUGGCUGGGGACAGCCCCACGGAGGUGGCUGG
rfam:Sus scrofa prion protein (PrP) gene, complete cds.